UACGGAGGGUGCAAGCGUUAUCCGGAUUCACUGGGUUUAAAGGGUGCGUAGGAGGGCAGGUAAGUCAGUGGUGAAAUCUCCAAGCUUAACUUGGAAACUGCCGUUGAUACUAUCUGUCUUGAAUACCGUGGAGGUGAGCGGAAUAUGUCAUGUAGCGGUGAAAUGCUUAGAUAUGACAUAGAACACCAAUUACGAAGGCAGCUCGCUACACGAAUAUUGACUCUGAGGCACGAAAGCGUGGGGAUCAAACAGG
rnacentral:rRNA from 1 species